GAUGAGCGCUGGCGGCGUGCCUAAUACAUGCAAGUCGAGCGAACGGACGAGAAGCUUGCUUCUCUGAUGUUAGCGGCGGACGGGUGAGUAACACGUGGAUAACCUACCUAUAAGACUGGGAUAACUUCGGGAAACCGUAUCUAAUACCGGAUAAUAUUUUGAACCGCAUGGUUCAAAAGUGAAAGACGGUCUUGCUGUCACUUAUAGAUGGAUCCGCGCUGCAUUAGCUAGUUGGUAAGGUAACGGCUUACCAAGGCAACGAUGCAUAGCCGACCUGAGAGGGUGAACGGACACACUGGAACUGAGACACGGUCCAGACUCCGACGGGAGGCAGCAGUAGGGAAUCUUCCGCGAUGGGGGAAAGCCUGACGGAGCAACGCCGCGUGAGUGAUGAAGGUCUUCGGAUCGUAAAACUAUGUUAGUCGGAAAGAACAUAUGUGUAAGUAACUGUGCACAUCUUGACGGUACCGAAUCAGAAAGCCACGGCUAACUACGUG
rnacentral:rRNA from 1 species